CCCUUAGAUGUCCUGGGCCGCACGCGCGUUACACUGAUGCAUUCAACGAGCUUAUAACCUUGGCCGAGAGGCCUGGGCAAUCUUGUUAACGUGCAUCGUGAUAGGGAUAGAUUAUUGAAAUUAUUAAUCUUGAACGAGGAAUUCCUAGUAAACGCAGAUCAUCAAUCUGCAUUGAUUACGUCCCUGCCCUUUGUACAUACCGCCCGUCGCACCUACCGAUUGGAUGGUCCGGUGAAGCCUCGGGAUUGUGGUUCUUGCCGCUUUAUUGUGGCGUGACCGCGAGAACUUGUCUAAACCUUAUCAUCUAGAGGAAGGUGAAGUCGUAACA
rnacentral:rRNA from 1 species